AGCAGCCGCGGUAAUUCCAGCUCCAAUAGCGUAUAUUAAAGUUGUUGCAGUUAAAAAGCUCGUAGUUGAAUUUCGGGAUCAAUAUGUUGGUCGUGCCUUGGUACGUACUAGUUUAUUGGUUUCUUCCUUCUGACGAACCAUGAUGUCAUUAAUUUGGUGUCUUGGGGAAUCAGGACUGUUACUUUGAAAAAAUUAGAGUGUUUAAAGCAGGCUCACGCUUGAAUACAUUAGCAUGGAAUAAUGAAAUAGGACGUUUGAUUCUAUUUUGUUGGUUUCUAGGAUCGACGUAAUGAUUAAUAGGGAUAGUUGGGGGCAUUAGUAUUCAAUUGUCAGAGGUGAAAUUCUUGGAUUUUAUUGAAGACUAACUACUGCGAAAGCAUUUGCCAAGGAUGUUUUCAUUAAUCAAGAACGAAAGUUAGGGGAUCGAAGACGAUCAGAUACCGUCGUAGUCUUAACCAUAAACUAUGCCGACUAGGGAUCGGAUGAUGUUAAUUUUUAAUGACUCAUUCGGCGCCUUACG
rnacentral:rRNA from 1 species